rnacentral:rRNA from 1 species
UACGGGGGGGGCAAGCGUUGUUCGGAAUUACUGGGCGUAAAGGGCUCGUAGGCGGCCAACUAAGUCAGACGUGAAAUCCCUCGGCUUAACCGGGGAACUGCGUCUGAUACUGGAUGGCUAGAGGUUGGGAGAGGGAUGCGGAAUUCCAGGUGUAGCGGUGAAAUGCGUAGAUAUCGGAAGGAACAUCAGUGGCGAAAGCGACUUCCUGGACCAGUACCGACGUUCAGGCACGAAAGCGUGGGGAGCAAACAGG